rnacentral:rRNA from 1 species
AAAUGAAUAGACGGGGGCCCGCACAAGCGGUGGAGCAUGUGGUUUAAUACGUCACUAACCGUAGAACCUUACCUAGGCUUGACAUCUGGGGAACCCUGACGAAAGUCGGGGGUGCCUUCGGGAACCUCAAGACAGGUGUUGCAUGGCUGUCGUCAGCUCGUGUCGUGAGAUGUUGGGUUAAGUCCCGCAACGAGCGCAACCCUCAUCCGAUGUUGCCAGCGUAAAGUCGGGAACUCUUCGGAAACUGCCCGUGUAAGCGGGAGGAAGGUGGGGAUGACGUCAAGUCAGCAUGGCCCUUACGCCUGGGGCUACACACAUGCUACAAUGGGCGCUAACAAAGGGCAGCAAUACCGCGAGGUGGAGCGAAUCUCAUAAAUGCGUCCUCAGUUCGGAUUGUAGUCUGCAACUCGACUACAUGAAGUCGGAAUCGCUAGUAACCGCAGGUCAGCUAAACUGCGGUGAAUACGUUCCCGGGCCUUGUACACACCGCCCGU